GUCAAGAUGUUGAUCAAGAGGAGUAACUAGUCCGACGUUUAGAGAGAGAGAACGAAUGGUGGAACGUUCUUAACGAAAGCUAGUGAAGGUAGCUUGGGAGUUUUUGUCUUGAAUCGAGUAGAGAUGAACGAGUAGUGAUCGUUAACUCACUUUGAGAGGUAAUAGGCAACUAUUACAAAUUAGGUGGUACCGCGUAAUUUAUACGUCCUAAAU
rnacentral:ncRNA from 1 species